GCGCAAUCAACCUGUCUCUCUGUCUCUGUCUGUCUGUGGUGACCCCUAAAAUUCACUCUCUUGGGCAUGGGGUCAAAGGUCAAGGGGUGGGGGGGGGGUCAGCUAGCAAGGUCAGAGAGGGUCAAAGAAGGGCAGCAGAAACCUCACACUCGUUGCUGGAUACAAUGAGUUACGUAUCACCAUUAUUUUUACGUAUCGGGUCAAAGGUCGCGGAGGAUUCGGGAUUUACGUAUGUAUGUAUGAACGCACGGGAGGCAGGCAAACAGGGUGGGGUAUAGACAGCAGUGAUAGUGAGCAACAGAUAUGUGUGGAUUUUUUCAGUGAGCGAACAUAACAAGCAAACGUUUCGGUGAGCGAGAUCGAUUCUGUGCUGUGAAUUUUGUGUGGUUGAGGAUUAUUGGGGUGUUUGGUUUUGUGGUUGAGUUUUUGUUUUGUUUGCUUUUGUUUAUGUUGUUUGCAGUAAGUAACAGAUUUGUGGAUUUUUUAGUGAGCGAACAUAGCAAGCAAACGUUUCGGUGAGCGAGAUUGAUUCUGUGCUGUGAAUUUUGUGUGGUUGAGGAUUUUUGGGGUGUUUGGCUUUGUGGUUGAGUUUUUGUUUUGUUUGCUUUUGUUUAUGUUGUUUGCAGUAAGUAACAGAUUUGUGGAUUUUUUAGUGAGCGAACUUAGCAAGCAAAUGUUUCGGUGAGCGAGAUUGAUUCUGUGCUGUGAAUUUUGUGUGGUUGAGGAUUUGUGGGGGUUGUUUUGGUUUGGUUUUGUGGUUGAGUUUGUUUUGUUUGCUUCUGUUUGUUGUUUGCAGUAAGUAACAGAUGUGUGGAUUUUUUAGUGAGCAAACAUAGCAAGCAAACGUUUCGGUGAGCAAGAUCGAUUCUUUGCUGUGAAUUUUGUGUGGUUGAGGAUUUUUGGGGGUGUUGUUUGGGGGUUGUUUAGGUUUUGGGGUUGAGUUUGUUUUGUUUGCUUCUGUUCAUGUUGUUUGCAGUAAGUAACAGAUGUGUGGAUUUCAGUGAGCAAACAUAGCAAGCAAAUAUUUCAGUGAGCUUGGAAUUUUGUGUGGUUGAAAAUGUUUGUUUUUUUGGGUUGUUUGGUUUGGUGGUUGAGUUUGCUUUGUUUGGCUGCCCUUGUUUUUGUUUGCUAUUGUUUAUGUUGUUUAUUUAGUGCUUAUCCAGGCUUUUGUUAUGAAGAGAAAGUGAAUUAUUGGCUUAAAAAUUGGGUUUGUCAGAAUUUGCUGUCCAUGUGAAUUUAAUUUUUUGUUGAUUGUAAUUGGCUGCUGUUUCUAUAUUAUCUCUAUUCUAUUGCGGUUUUUCUUACUAUUGCAUUUGUAUUGCAUGUAAAACUGAGAUUCCAUUUGUGUGUGUGUGUGUGUGUGUGUGUGUGUGUGUGUGUGUGUGUUUGUUUGCUUGUUUGUGUGUGUGUGUGUGUGUUUGUGUGUGUUUGUGUGUGUGUGUUUGUGUGUGUGUGUGUGUGUGUUUGUUUGCUUGUUUGUGUGUGUGUGUGUGUGUGUGUGUGUGUGUGUGUGUGUGUGUGUGUGUGUGUGUUUGUUUGCUUGUUUGCCUGCUCAGAACGUAUAAUUAACCAGGUGUUUGUUUUCCAGGGGACGCGAUGACAUACACACACAAACGCGCACACACACGCACACACACACGCACAUAUUAUUAUCCCUUAGUCGAUACAAACGUACAUACAUACACACACGUACAUAUGCACACAAACUUCAAACAUGAACUGGAUAAUUAUAAUAUGUACACACACACACACACACACACACACACACACACACACACACACACACACACACACACACACACCA